CAAAAAAAAAAAUGAUUUCUUUAUCUCUCAAUUGUAUUUCUCCUAGACUAAGCGCAUGCACCUACAUACAUUUUAGGGGUUUUGUUAAAUGCUUUCCAAAGCUGUUCCAAAGCCCAGAAUGCCAAGUAUCUUGAAAAAUCCUCCACUGUCCCAUUCUGUGAUAAACAGGAUGGUCACUUCAAAUCUGUAUAGCCCACCCCAAGCACAGCACCUAGAAUGCUGCAGAUGUUUUUUAAAAUAGAAGGCUGGAAGGGAGAGACAGGGGAAGGCCUCAUAUUUAGGAUGGAAGUUGUGCGGCAGUCUUCAAGCUGUGUUUACAUAUUGAAAAUAAAAAAAAAAGAUCCCUUCUGUUGUUAUUUUAAAAAUAUAAACAAAUCUACUGUCUUGGACAGGGGUUCAUUAAGUUGGUGCAAAAGUAAUUGUGGUUUUUGUCAUUAAAAGUAAUAAACCUUUCCAACAGGUUGCUUUGGCAUUCAUAAGGCAGAGCAUCAAACAUAAACAGAUAUUAAUACCUAUUUUCCUUACAGUUGAUUGCUUUUGUCUAAUAUUGAAAUGCUCCAAAACUCCCUGUAGUGGGACAGCUCAGCUGUGGCUCCCUGGUGACCGUGCAUGUAUCCACAUAGACCACACAGUCUCUCUCAACUACGCAGUUGAGAGAGGCUAUUAUUUUUCUUUUUAUCUUUUAGAAAGAAGGAAGGAGUUUCCUGGGUACUAUGAGUCUAUCACCACUGCUUCAGCAGGCUGGAGCUACAUAUUACCAAAUAGCAGGAUGACUGUGGAAACCAUUCCAAGUAGAGCUACUUGGAUAGUUCUAAAGAUCCCGAUAUAUGGCCUCAUGGAAAUAUGGUCUUAAGUUUUAUUAAGUGAUUGCAACUUUACUUUGCAGAAACUCACCCAGUAUUUUUCAAAAUAAAAAAAGUAUUACCCCCUUUGAUUAUUUUACGCUGUUAUUAAAUAUUUAUUGAUUUAAAUUUUGCUGUUUUCAUUUUGUGUGAAUUUUUUUCUGAGAUAAAUAUUAAAGUGCACAAGUGUUAACAAUAUAACUUGAUGGAUCUUUACAUAUGUAUAUACCUGUGGAACUUCGACACAGAUCAAGAGGUAGAAUAGUUUCAACAUCCCAGAAGGCUCCUUCAUGCUUCUCCCAUUCAAUAUCACCCACCAGAGGUAACCAAUACUCUCACUUCUAUCCCCAUAGAUUUCACCUGUGUUUGGAACUUUUUGUAAAUGGAACCACACAGUACGUUGUCUUAUUUUUCUGGCUUCCUUUGCUCAAUUCUAUGUCUAUGAGAUUUAAAUAUUAUGUUGCAUUGCAUAGAAGUAAUUCAUUUUUUACUGCUGUGUAGCAUUCCAUUUUACAAAUAUAUCACAAUUUAUUCAUCUAAUCAACUGUUAAUGUAAAUUGGGGUUGUUUCUAAUUUGAAGCUACUGUGACUGAAGCUGCUAUAAAUAUUAUUGUACAUAUCUUUCAGUGGACAUAUGUGCUCAUUUGUCUUGAGUAUAUAUCUAAGAGUGAAAUUCCUGGGCCAACAGCGAGAUGUAUAUUUAUAUUUAACAGGUAUUGCCGAAUAAUUUUCCAAAGUGUCUGAACCAUUUUACAUUCCCACUAGCAAAUGUAUGAGUUCCAGUUGUUCCACAUGCUUGUUGACACUUGCUAUUGUCAUUAUUUUUAAUUUUAGCCAUUCUGGUGGGUGCAGAGAAGUACAUAACUGUGGUUGUAAUUAGGAUUUCUCUGAUGAGUAAUGAUGUAAAGAACUUUGUCAUAUGCUUAUUGGCCAUUUGGUAAGGGUUAGGCUUAGGCAUGGAUAUUCUCUUUUGUGAGGUGCCUGUUCAAGUCUUUUGUCCAUUUAUAAACUUUAUUGUCUUUUGCUUUUUGAUUUGUGGAGUUAUUUAUACAUUCUGCAUACAAGUCUUUUAUCUGAUAUAUGCAUUGUGAAUAUCUUCUCUCUAUGUAAGGUUUGCCUUUCACUAUCUGAAUUGUGUCUUUUGAUUAAAGAAGUUCUUAA
rnacentral:lncRNA from 1 species